GACGAACGCUGGCGGCGUGCUUAACACAUGCAAGUCGAACGGAAAGGCCCUGCUUUUGUGGGGUGCUCGAGUGGCGAACGGGUGAGUAACACGUGAGUAACCUGCCCUUGACUUUGGGAUAACUUCAGGAAACUGGGGCUAAUACCGGAUAGGAGCUCCUGCUGCAUGGUGGGGGUUGGAAAGUUUCGGCGGUUGGGGAUGGACUCGCGGCUUAUCAGCUUGUUGGUGGGGUAGUGGCUUACCAUGGCUUUGACGGGUAGCCGGCCUGAGAGGGUGACCAGCCGCAUCGGGACUAAGAUAAGGCCCAGACUCCUACGGGAGGCAGCAGUGGGGAAUAUUGCACAGUGGACGGAGGCCUGACGCAGCAACGCCGCGUGCGGGAUGACGGACUUCGGGUUGUAAACCGCUUUCGCCUGUGACGAAGCGUGAGUGACGGUAAUGGGUAAAGAAGCACCGGCUAACUACGUG
rnacentral:rRNA from 1 species